UACGGAGGAUCCAAGCGUUAUCCGGAUUUAUUGGGUUUAAAGGGUGCGUAGGCGGUUUGGUAGGUCCGCUGUGAAAACUCGAGGCUCAACCUCGAGACGCCGGUGGAAACCAUCAGACUAGAGUCCGGAAGAGGAGAGUGGAAUUCCUGGUGUAGCGGUGAAAUGCGCAGAUAUCAGGAAGAACACCGAUGGCGAAGGCAGGUCUCUGGGCCACUACUGACGCUGAGAAGCGAAAGCAUGGGGAGCGAACAGG
rnacentral:rRNA from 1 species